rnacentral:rRNA from 1 species
AUGGCCCACCAAGCCUAAGACGGGUAGCUGGUCUGAGAGGAUGGUCAGCCACACUGGAACUGAGACACGGUCCAGACUCCUACGGGAGGCAGCAGUGGGGAAUCUUGCGCAAUGGGCGAAAGCCUGACGCAGCGACGCCGCGUGGGUGAUGAAGGCCUUCGGGUUGUAAAGCCCUGUGGGGAGGGAAGAAUAAGUCGUGGCUAAUAUCCACGAUGAUGACGGUACCUCCUUAGCAAGCACCGGCUAACUCUGUGCCAGCAGCCGCGGUAAGACAGAGGGUGCGAACGUUGUUCGGAAUUACUGGGCGUAAAGCGCGUGUAGGCGGCUUGGUAAGUCAGGUGUGAAAGCCCUCGGCUCAACCGGGGAAGUGCAUUUGAAACUGCCGAGCUGGAGUCCCGGAGAGGAUGGUGGAAUUCUCGGUGUAGAGGUGAAAUUCGUAGAUAUCGAGAGGAACACCGGUGGCGAAGGCGGCCAUCUGGACGGUGACUGACGCUGAGACGCGAAAGCGUGGGGAGCAAACAGGAUUAGAUACCCUGGUAGUCCACGCCGUAAACGAUGGGUGCUAGGUGUCGCGGGCUUUGACCCCUGCGGUGCCGAAGCUAACGCAUUAAGCACCCCGC